ACGAACGCUGGCGGCGUGCUUCACACAUGCAAGUCGAACGUGAUUUUUGUGGAAAUUCUUUCGGGAAUGGAAAUGAAAUGAAAGUGGCGAACGGGUGAGUAACACGUGAGCAACCUACCUUACACAGGGGGAUAGCCGUUGGAAACGACGAUUAAUACCGCAUGAGACCACAGAAUCGCAUGAUAUAGGGGCCAAAGAUUUAUCGGUGUAAGAAGGGCUCGCGUCUGAUUAGCUAGUUGGAAGGGUAAAGGCCUACCAAGGCGACGAUCAGUAGCCGGUCUGAGAGGAUGAACGGCCACAUUGGAACUGAGACACGGUCCAAACUCCUACGGGAGGCAGCAGUGGGGAAUAUUGCACAAUGGGGGGAACCCUGAUGCAGCGACGCCGCGUGAGCGAAGAAGGUUUUCGAAUCGUAAAGCUCUGUCCUAUGAGAAGAUAAUGACGGUAUCAUAGGAGGAAGCCCCGGCUAAAUACGUG
rnacentral:rRNA from 1 species